UCUUAUAGCCCGAGGGAAAGUGAGCGCGUCCUGCCGUGAGUCCGAGGUCUGCAGAGCGGAGUCGCUAGAACUGGUUUUCGAGCCUCAAUUUCUGUCUCUUAGAGACCCUAAGUGUAAAAGGAGGCGAGGAGCCGUACAGAAGAUACCAUCGGUGCUGCACUCUCCCGGAGGUACCGGACUCUCCUCUGUUUAGUCCCAAGAACCAAUGAAGAGAAACAGGACACGCCAUGGGUUCGGGAUGAUGAAAAGCCAGAGGGUUUUUGUCCAAGGAAAUACAGUGUUUUGAGAAACUGCAGCACUGAUUGAUCAGACGUGUUGUGUUCUGAAAUGAUUCUGUGAAAAUGAGGAUGUUGGUUUGCCUUGCGGUUUGAAGUCAGCAAACUCUGAAAGAAAACUGAUCUUCCCUGUGCGUGUCGGAGCCUGCGGGAGGCCUGCGAGGAUGAGCAUUACAUCCUGAAGACCUAGAAAUGGGGCUCGCUGCGCAUUCAGAAGCCUCUACAGUGUUCCUGGGUCAACCACCAUUCCAUAUUCGUGACUGAGAGUAGUCCAGAGGUUUUCGCUGAAGAAAUGAGUACGCGAAGAUGUGUUUUAUACACACGCAAUGGAUACCACUCAGCUAUUAAAACACUGAACAUUUGCCAUUUUUGACAACAUGGAUGGAACUAGAGGGAAGUCAGUCACAAGGAGAAAGACAAAUACUGGAUGGCUUCCUUCACAUGUGGAAUAAACAGACAAACCAAGGAACAGGCUCUUAAAAUCUGACUGCAGGGCUAAGGCCACCAGAAAAAGGGAGGGUGGGGAGGUGUGAACCUACACCCCUAAAACCGUGUCAUAAAGCAAGAUCACCUCAAUAAAAAGCUUUUGUAAGAGAACUAGAAAACAGCGUGGUUUGGGCACGUAAAUGCUUCAGUCCACUCACAAAUACAUACACAAACCGCACU